CUCCGAGGUGAAUGAUUAAAAGGGAAUCAAGGUGAAAAUCCUGAACAGUCCCGCUGCUGUAUGUUUCACUAAACGCAUAAGCAAAAUGCCAAUAACCACUGGGAUAAUUUCCGGGAAGGUGCUUAUAGCGGAAACGAGUCAGAAGACCUGCCUGUGCAUUUA
rnacentral:ncRNA from 1 species